rnacentral:tRNA from 1 species
GUCCAGGGUAGCCUAGUGCUCAUGACAUCAGCCCGGUAAGCGGAAGGUCGUGGGUUCGAUUCCCAUCCCUUGACA